CGAGAUUGCUGCAGUUGGAAGCAGAGAAACUAGCUCCACUGUAAGUUAAUGGGACAAUUGUCCAGCUUGUAUUUACGUACAUAAAAGUGCUUGAUUUGCUACUGACAGACUCAGAUUAAUAUUCUAAGUGUCUGACGACAUUAUGGAAAGGAUUUCUAAGGAGGACGACCUUCCUGUUAAAGAUAAGAUCCUUUUUGUGUAACUGAAAU